rnacentral:tRNA from 1 species
AUUUUCUUAAUACAACUAGUAUAGGUGACUUCCAAUCAUCAAAUCUUGGUUAAACUCCGAGAGAAAAUA